rnacentral:rRNA from 1 species
CCUACGGUGGGCAGCAGUAGGGAAUUUUGCGCAAUGGGCGAAAGCCUGACGCAGCAACGCCGCGUGAUCGAGACGCCCUUCGGGGUGUAAAGAUCUGUCAGUGGGGACGAAACUUGACGGUACCCACAGAGGAAGCACCGGCUAACUCCGUGCCAGCAGCCGCGGUAAUACGGGGGGUGCAAGCGUUGUCCGGAAUCAUUGGGCGUAAAGCGCUCGUAGGCGGUAUGUCAAGUCAAGGGUGAAAUCCCCGCGCUCAACGUGGGAACUGCCUUUGAAACUGGCAAACUGGAGUGUGUGAGAGGAUAGUGGAAUUCCAGGUGUAGGAGUGAAAUCCGUAGAUAUCUGGAGGAACAUCAGUGGCGAAGGCGACUAUCUGGCACAUAACUGACGCUGAGGAGCGAAAGCGUGGGUAGCAAACAGGAUUAGAUACCCGGGUAGUC